GAUGAACGCUAGCGGCAGGCUUAACACAUGCAAGUCGAGGGGUAGAGGCCUUCGGGCCUUGAGACCGGCGCACGGGUGCGUAACGCGUAUGCAAUCUGCCUUCCACAGAGGGAUAGCCCAGAGAAAUUUGGAUUAAUACCUCAUAGCAUCAUGACCCGGCAUCGGGAUAUGAUUAAAGUCACAACGGUGGAAGAUGAGCAUGCGUCCCAUUAGCUAGUUGGUAAGGUAACGGCUUACCAAGGCUACGAUGGGUAGGGGUCCUGAGAGGGAGAUCCCCCACAUGGUACUGAGACACGGACCAGACUCCUACGGGAGGCAGCAGUGAGGAAUAUUGUCAAUGGGCGCAAGCCUGAACCAGCCAUGCCGCGUGCAGGAUGACGGUCCUAUGGAUUGUAAAACUGCUUUUGUACGGGAAGAAACCCUCCUACGUGUAGGAGCUUGACGGUACCGUAAGAAUAAGGAUCGGCUAACUCCGUGCCAGCAGCCGCGGUAAUACGGAGGAUCCAAGCGUUAUCCGGAAUCAUUGGGUUUAAAGGGUCUGUAGGCGGUCUUGUAAGUCAGUGGUGAAAGCCCAUCGCUCAACGGUGGAACGGCCAUUGAUACUGCUGGACUUGAAUUAUUGGGAAGCAACUAGAAUAUGUAGUGUAGCGGUGAAAAUGCUUAGAGAUUACAUGGAAUGCCAAUUGCGAAGGCAGGUUGCUACCAAUGGAUUGACGCUGAUGGACGAAAGCGUGGGGUAGCGAACAGGAUUAGAUA
rnacentral:rRNA from 1 species